UUCUAAUAUGGCAGAAAAAUGCAUUGAACUUAAGAUUCAAUUAUAAAGAAUUAUUCUUUUUUUAGAAA
rnacentral:tRNA from 1 species